AAACCUACGGGGCGCAGCAGUGGGGGAUAUUGGACAAUGGGGGAAACCCUGAUCCAGCGAUGCCGCGUGAGGGAAGUAGGUUUUCGGAUUGUAAACUUCUGUGGAGGGGGACGAUAAUGACGGUACCCCUUUAGGAAGCUCCGGCUAACUACGUGCCAGCAGCCGCGGUAAUACGUAGGGAGCGAGCGUUGUCCGGAAUUACUGGGUGUAAAGGGAGCGUAGGCGGGACGGCAAGUCAGAUGUGAAAACUGAGGGCUCAACCUUCAGACUGCAUUUGAAACUGCUGUUCUUGAGUGAAGUAGAGG
rnacentral:rRNA from 1 species